rnacentral:misc_RNA from 1 species
GAUGAAGAACGAAGCGAAAUGCGAUACUUGGUGUGAAUUGCAGAAUCCCGUGAACCAUCGAGUCUUUGAACGCAAGUUGCGCCCGAAGCCAUUAGGCCGAGGGCACGCCUGCCUGGGUGUCACACGUCGUUGCCCCCCCAUCUACUCCUUCGGGAUUGCGGGGGGCGGAUGAUGGCCUCCCGUGCGCCUCGUCGCGCGGUUGGCAUAAAUGCCAAGUCCUCGGCGACGCACGCCACGACAAUCGGUGGUUGCGAAACCUCGGUUGCCCGUCGUGUGCGGUCGUCGCGCAUCGAGGGCUCGAAAAAAUUGCCGGGCUCCGGCUCGGCUUUCAACGCGACCCCAGGUCAGGCGGGGUUACCCGCUGAAUUUAAGCAUAUCAAUAAGCGGAGGA